GCCGGGGUAACUCAUCGGUAGAGUGCGAUUCUGAAAAAAUCGAGGUAGUGGGUUCGACUCCCACCCCCGGCACCA
rnacentral:tRNA from 1 species